UGACGUACAGAACUCUGUAAACCAACCAGGUCUAUCGUUACUCUGAAUGACGUACAGAACUCUGUAAACCAACCAGGUCUAUCGUUACUCUGAAUGACGUACAGAACUCUGUAAACCAACCAGGUCUAUCGUUACUCUGAAUGACGUACAGAACUCUGUAAACCAACCAGGUCUAUCGUUACUCUGAAUGACGUACAGAACUCUGUAAACCAACCAGGUCUAUCGUUACUCUGAAUGACGUACAGAACUCUGUAAACCAACCAGGUCUAUCGUUACUCUGAAUGACGUACAGAACUCUGUAAACCAACCAGGUCUAUCGUUACUCUGAAUGACGUACAGAACUCUGUAAACCAACCAGGUCUAUCGUUACUCUGAAUGACGUACAGAACUCUGUAAACCAACCAGGUCUAUCGUUACUCUGAAUGACGUACAGAACUCUGUAAACCAACCAGGUCUAUCGUUACUCUGAAUGACGUACAGAACUCUGUAAACCAACCAGGUCUAUCGUUACUCUGAAUGACGUACAGAACUCUGUAAACCAACCAGGUCUAUCGUUACUCUGAAUGACGUACAGAACUCUGUAAACCAACCAGGUCUAUCGUUACUCUGAAUGACGUACAGAACUCUGUAAACCAACCAGGUCUAUCGUUACUCUGAAUGACGUACAGAACUCUGUAAACCAACCAGGUCUAUCGUUACUCUGAAUGACGUACAGAACUCUGUAAACCAA